UACGAAGGGGGGCUAGCGUUGUUCGGAUUUACUGGGCGUAAAGCGCACGUAGGCGGAUUGUUAAGUCAGGGGUGAAAUCCCAGAGCUCAACUCUGGAACUGCCUUUGAUACUGGCAAUCUCGAGUCCGGAAGAGGUGAGUGGAACUCCUAGUGUAGAGGUGGAAUUCGUAGAUAUUAGGAAGAACACCAGUGGCGAAGGCGGCUCACUGGUCCGGAACUGACGCUGAGGUGCGAAAGCGUGGGGAGCAAACAGG
rnacentral:rRNA from 1 species